AUCCAGUACAGGCUGGAUUUUCAGGAAUGCUGCUUGGUUCUGUGUCCUGGCACAUGGUGGUGAGAAAUACUGAACGCAUAAUUUUAAUAUAAGCAAGACCCAGGGCGAACCUGCGGGUUUUGUGCUGAGACAAGAGUUUCUCUGUGUAGCCUUGGCUGUCCUGGACACACUUUGCAGACCAGGCUGGCCUCUAUCCCACAGAGAUCUGUUGUCCCUGCCUCCCGAGUGCUGGAAUUAAACGAAUGCACCCUCACCACCUGGCUAAUUCCAAAUGACUGGCUGGGCAUUUGCUCCAUUGUCCUGUACUUCCUCUGUGAGGCCCAAAUAAAGUGAUUGCUUGAAAUUUAAUAAUAAUAAUAAUAAUAAUAAUAAACAUUCUUUGUUCUGCCUUUUCA